rnacentral:rRNA from 1 species
AUGCAAGUCGAACGGUAACAUUUCUAGCUUGCUAGAAGAUGACGAGUGGCGGACGGGUGAGUAAUGCUUGGGAACUUGCCUUUGCGAGGGGGAUAACAGUUGGAAACGACUGCUAAUACCGCAUAAUGUCUUUGGACCAAACGGGGCUUCGGCUCCGGCGCGAAGAGAGGCCCAAGUGAGAUUAGCUAGUUGGUAAGGUAACGGCUUACCAAGGCGACGAUCUCUAGCUGUUCUGAGAGGAAGAUCAGCCACACUGGGACUGAGACACGGCCCAGACUCCUACGGGAGGCAGCAGUGGGGAAUAUUGCACAAUGGGGGAAACCCUGAUGCAGCCAUGCCGCGUGUGUGAAGAAGGCCUUCGGGUUGUAAAGCACUUUCAGUUGUGAGGAAAAGUUAGUAGUUAAUACCUGCUAGCCGUGACGUUAACAACAGAAGAAGCACCGGCUAACUCCGUGCCAGCAGCCGCGGUAAUACGGAGGGUGCGAGCGUUAAUCGGAAUUACUGGGCGUAAAGCGCACGCAGGCGGUUUGUUAAGCUAGAUGUGAAAGCCCCGGGCUCAACCUGGGAUGGUCAUUUAGAACUGGCAGACUAGAGUCUUGGAGAGGGGAGUGGAAUUCCAGGUGUAGCGGUGAAAUGCGUAGAUAUCUGGAGGAACAUCAGUGGCGAAGGCGACUCCCUGGC